GGAAGAGGGAGAAGAAGGAAGCCCCCACAGCCAGUUCCUCCUCCUCUUUGCAGUCUCACUGACUAGAUCUUGGUGAAAUAUGAAGCCACUUCUUAAUCACUGGCAGAAGAAACCUACCAACACAAGAGGAGUACAAUGCUACUGUCAGAAAUUAGCUAAGAACUGAACAAUUUUUGAUAGGAAAUUGGAUACUCCUGACCGCCCUGUCAGUGAACCAUGUGGAGUCAAAGGAGCCUCUUCUGCCACAUGCCUAGAUCUCAUGUUCCUCUGGAACAAAAUAAUAUCUGUAGAAGAAAUGUCAUGAGCGGGAAAAUAUAUUAGUUCUUUUACUUCUGCAUCCUUUUCUGUUUCCACAUAUUAAAGCUAGAAAUAUACAUUCAUCUAUC